AGCCCAUGGUUGGGGCAUUUCUUCAACAAGGCAUUGAAUCUCUCCCAUGCUUCAAACAUAGACUCUUGGCUCUUCAUACUAAAGUGGGAGAUCUCCGCUUGUAGGUU